GCCAAGAUUAUAGGUGUGAGCCACUGCCCUGGCCAGCAUUAGCUAUUAUUAUUCUGAUUUUUGUUGUGGAAAUUUCCAGCAAGGGCCCAUUGCAGUAAGACAGAUGGUGUUCCCUGGCACUCUCCCUUCACAGUUGGAGUUCCGGCGGCUCCUGCGGUGAGGCAAGCCAGCUACUCUGGGAUAUCCAGGAGGUCCGGCCGGCCCCAUGGCUGUGGGGAUAUCUUCAGUAGCCUUUGGCUCCACCUAAGUUCUUUAUUCACCUCCAAAAUUGUCUUCAGUUCAUAGUGGCCACACAUUCCUUUUGCAGAAGGCAAAAUAACCAAGUGCUGAACUUGAGAACUGUGUCUGGAUUGGGCCCUCCUUGUGGUUCAGACAUCACCUUCAAACCACUUUGAUGGACAAUUAGGAGUUAUAUAACCUGAGUCCUACUACGCAUGUGGAUCUCCCAGGAACCUCUCUGAAAGCCCACUGUAGGGGAGGAUGGGAAGUGAAUUGCAAUAUAGAUUUAAGCUAAUGACAUGAUAAGGACAACCCUUAGGUUGUUCUGGAUUUCCUUUCAGACCCCAUUGUACUUGUGCUGCUUGGCCCUCAGGCUAGAGAAUCCUCUGCAUUUUUUUGCAGUGGCCAUGCUAAAUUCUGAUUGGCAGAUUCGUAGGGCCUUCCCUCCUCCUCCAAAUGUAGCAAUUGCUGGGGUGCCUGCCUUUGUCCCCAGGAGGGGCCAUAGGUCCCUUGCUGUCUACCUAACAUAAUUAUAUCUAACAUUGAUGUUAUGAGAAUUGAAACAAUGUGACUUAAAUAUAGCGGAUUGUUAUUGUAUUAUUGUAAACAUUGUUCCUGUCCUU